CCUACGGGGGGCUGCAGUGGGGAAUAUUGCACAAUGGGCGCAAGCCUGAUGCAGCCAUGCCGCGUGUGUGAAGAAGGCCUUCGGGUUGUAAAGCACUUUCAGCGGGGAGGAAGGCGUUAAGGUUAAUAACCUUGUCGAUUGACGUUACCCGCAGAAGAAGCACCGGCUAACACCGUGCCAGCAGCCGCGGUAAUACGGAGGGUGCAAGCGUUAAUCGGAAUUACUGGGCGUAAAGCGCACGCAGGCGGUCUGUCAAGUCGGAUGUGAAAUCCCCGGGCUCAACCUGGGAACUGCAUUCGAAACUGGCAGGCUAGAGUCUUGUAGAGGGGGGUAGAAUUCCAGGUGUAGCGGUGAAAUGCGUAGAGAUCUGGAGGAAUACCGGUGGCGAAGGCGGCCCCCUGGACAAAGACUGACGCUCAGGUGCGAAAGCGUGGGGAGCAAACAGGAUUAGAUACCCUAGUAGUC
rnacentral:rRNA from 1 species